UGUGCCACGUGUUGUGUUCUUUUUGGGGUUUAUCUUGCUUCGUUUCCGUGUUCUUUCCUUGCCUCGUUCCCUCUUCUCUGUCGCUCUCGGUUUGUUUUUCCUUUUGUUCUCCAUUGUUUGCUUCCCUUUCGCACGCUUUUGUGUUUUGGUCUUCUCAACCCCGCUUUUCUCGCUUCACAGCUGCUUCAUUCUCUGGACAACUCUGUGGUAGUCAGCCUGUUGAAUCUCGCUUACUUGCACAGUUGAUCACCUACUUUGUUUCAUAUGGAGGUACAUUCCCAUAACAAUCAAUAGUUUAUUUAAAAAAUUAUAAUUUAUUGCUUUUUUCAUAUAUGUUUGCUGCUUAAAUUAAGUUUUUGCUAACCCUUCUCUUCCGAGGAACUGGUUAUUACUGAUAUAUAUCUGCAAUGUCCGCUUUUCACCUGGUCUCAAUACACGAUUAACUACUUCCUUACUCAUAAAUGGAUUUAGUUGGACAUCCAAAGGUGUUAUCAAAGAUGUUGUAACCAAAAUUGUUAAAUCUAUAUAUCCAACAUUCUUAUUAUUGGUUAGAUAGGUUAAACAAUUGUACAAUUCAUAUUAUCUUCUUCUCCUCAAUCAAGGGAUAUCGCGAAAUAUAUCUAUGGUUAAAACAUCUAGAUUCAUACUUUUGGAUGUCCAUCUUAAAUCCUUAAAAUGAAUAACUAGGUAGUUUAUCAUCUAUUUACAAUAGGUGAAAAGAAGAAAUUGUUUGUUUAUAUAUUGAUAAUAGUCAGUUCAUCUGAAGAGAAAACAUGGACAUGAUGGUGAUGCCGCAAAAAAUCAAAGCACAAACAACUCACUGAUUCAUAUCUCUGUAUACCACAGAGACACUAAAUAAGGCAUAUCUGAUCCAUCUCUGAACAUCAUUUGUUACUAUUUUUACAAUUAAAAAAAAAACAUGAUUCACUUGCAUCGCUUUCUACAACAUGUUUCACAUUUUCAGUUCAUUAUAAAUAAUGCUACUUACUUUGGUUACUUUUCUGUUACAUUUAUAUCCCUCUACAUUUUUUUCUGCGUUGAAACACCUUUAAACCAAUGUUGAACAACGAUGGCUCCUCUAAAACCCAACUCCUUACGUUGCCUGAUCAAGAUUUUGCCCUAAUUUCCCAUUGAUAAUUUUCUUUUUUUGGUUAUUUCCCAUUUUUAACCGAUAGGUCUUUCUACGAACUUGCUGUGUACAAAUUUUUUUUUCCUUCUCUCUACACACUAUGGAUUUCUCUCAUUUAAUUACAGUAUCAUGUGAUUACAACUUUUCCUGUAGUUUUUAAAAUCUCUGACAAUAAAUUUAUGUCACUAUUGACAUUCUACAUCUCUCUCACUUCCAAAAAUUACAAGGUAUGUUAUCAUUCCUUAUUAUAUGCAUAUUUUUGAUGUCGAUAAUUUUAACAAACAUCCAUUAUGUCACCUGUAUCCAGCUAAAAAACCUGGAGUUAUAUAAAAACACAAAACUACACUAUAACAAAUGAACAUACUUUAACCAGCUCAUUUCCACGUUCAUUCGUGUAAUUAAAAUGUUGUUUCAUAACAGGUUUGACCCUAAUUUUUUCGUUGCGUUAUAACAAUGUAAUUCUUGGUUGCACAAACUACGAGGUAUGCUCCGACCUAUUCUUUAACCAACAUUAUAGAAUCCAUGUUCUGUUGAAAAAUUUCAAUAUUCUGUGAUGGAAAAGGUUAUGAUAAAUUGCAAGGUAGAAAUUCUUUUAUGAGUUCUUCAGCUGAUUUGGGGCAUGUUUCUUUACGAGCUUAAUUUCAUCUAGAAACAAAUAGUGUUUAGAAUCACCAAGUCGUACAAAAAGUAUUUUAAAUUGUUUUUUAACCAAUCUAUUGCCAACUUUUCCAAUGGGUUUCUUAUUUUAUUUUCCAUAAUUUUGCAUGAAACCAAAGCCUUUCCAUGCUCAAGAGUUAAUGUGUGCUUAAGAAUUAAUCUGUUUUGUUUGAUCAUUAUGUUAUAAUACCAUAUGUGGUUGCAAGUUUGAAAAAUGUAGGGAAACAGAUCAGUUAUGAACAAAUUAGCAUGGUUCAUCCUAAUGCUAUAUAAGUUAGGUUCCUGAUUUCUUUCCUCAUUUCUUCAUUGGUGAUUUGUGUUUUCAGUGACUUUCCAUUCUUGGGUAAUAAGUUUUUGUCAAGAAAAUGUGUUCAGUUCUUUUUUUUCUUUUUUUUUUAAAAAAAAUUUAUGUUCUAUCUGGUUCUGUGUCAUGUGAUUCCAGUGUCAUAUGAUUAGAGGUUCCAAAAGAGAAACAUUACUUCUUUUAUUUGGUCAGAGGAGGGGUCAUGAAGUUCUGUUCAAUUUUGGUUUUUCCGAUGACUUAGGAAGAAAUUAUGUCACUAUUAAUAUUGCAGGUGUCCAGCUUGCAGAAAUUACAAGUUAUGCUACAAUCUAUACUUCUUAGGUUGAUUUGAUUCAAAAUCAAAAUUGGUUUUUCCAAUGGCUUAGGAAGAAAUUAUGUCACUAUUAAUAUUGCAGGUGUCCAGCUUGCAGAAAUUACAAGUUAUGCUACAAUCUAUACUUAGGUAGAUUUGAUUCAAAUUGAUAUAUUUCGGUGAGAAAAAAAAAUUAUCUUUUUUUUUAGUUAAGAACUCUUAGAACUUCAAAUUUGUAAAAGAUGUGAAUAUUAGAACAAUGACAAUAGAACCACUUUUAUCUUUUCUUUCAGUUAAGAACACUUAGGAUUUCAAAUUUGUAAAAGAUGUGAAUAUUAAAACAAUGGCAAUAAAACCGCCAAUCCAUAUGAUUGUAAACAGAUUUCAACAUAUAUCUAAAUAGUAUUACAUAUCGUAUGUAUUUAGAACUUUUCGCAUGUUCUAUACAGUUUUAAAACCCGCAGCAACACGCGGGCACCGUUGCUAGUUAUAUAUACUAAAACCCAGUUGGGUUCCGGCACUGUUCAGAAAUAAUGUCCGACGGAUCUGCCUCUUGCUUCUCUGCUUUCUUCUGUUUCUCUCGCUUGCUUCGUGCGUUGGAGAGACCCUUAUUGUUAUCCUUCUUUUCUUCGGGAUUCUUUCACUCUUUUGCCACGUGUUGAUCAUCCUGGGUAUCUUUUUUUUCCAUUCUGACUUCCUCUUUUAUUUUAUUUUUUGUGUCGCCAUCCGACUCUCUCUUCAAUUCCAACGUUUUAUCCUUACCUAAUCCACACUAACAGUAAUGGUACAUGCCUUCCCACCAAAAAAUAAUUAAAAAACCUUACCUCAUCACACUUGGCAGCAAUGAUGCAUGCCUUGCCACCAAAAUAUAAUUAAAAAAACAAAAAUCUGGAACAUGUUUGCCCCUGUUUGAUGCCAACUUGCCCGUUGCUUUUCUUCCUUGGCACAGCCUUCCCAUGCGUUCUCCACUGAUUUGCCACGCGUCGAUCAUCGUGGAUAAGUUCUCUUCAAUUGCAUCUCUCCAAAUCUCCUUCAGUUUCCAGUUGCUUUCCUUUUCUCAACCUUUGGUUUCCGAUCUUCUCAUCUUUCUCAUUUUUCUCAGCCAGAUCAUCUGUGCAAAUUUCUUGCGUUUAAAACCCUUGGAAAAAUAAUAGUUGUUGCAUCCUCCGUUUAAAAUCCCUGGGUCAGUACUAAUUUUGUUGGUUUUUGGAUUUUAUCAGGGUGGAAUAACCUCCAAGGUCCACCUCUGUUUGGUGGACACUUUGCUCUUCGUUUUUCGGGGCUUCUAUGUGCAACUUCGAAGCCGUUUAUGCUCAAGGGUUUUAUUCUGGAGCUUGCAAGCCAUUUUUGGGUCAGACCAUAAUUUUUAAGCAACAAAAUUAAGCUGGAAAUUAAAUUGAGUUUUCAAGAUCUACAGUUGCAAUGCCUUUGAUGGAUAAAACACAGCGGACCCAGCUACUCUUAUAGAGCUUCUUUAGCAUCGUAAGUUAAAAUUGCAUAUCAUUUUUUUUUGUUUCAUGGAAUUCAUUAUGUUUAAUAGCAUACCAAUUAUGUGAUACCAAUUAUUAUCUUAGCAGUUUCUAACAAUUUGUAAAGUACGGAUAAAUGUGUAGAAGUUUGAAUUAUACAUAUGAAAGUUUCAUCUAUUAUACUCUUUUA